rnacentral:rRNA from 1 species
GCACCAGACUCCUACGGGAGGCAGCAGUGGGGAAUAUUGCACAAUGGGGGAAACCCUGAUGCAGCAACGCCGCGUGAGUGAAGAAGUCAUUCGUGAUGUAAAGCUCUAUCAGCAGGGAAGAAAAUGACGGUACCUGAGUAAGAAGCCCCGGCUAACUACGUGCCAGCAGCCGCGGUAAUACGUAGGGGGCAAGCGUUAUCCGGAUUUACUGGGUGUAAAGGGGGCGCAGACGGCAGCGCAAGCCAGGAGUGAAAGCCCGGGGCCCAGCCCCGGGACUGCUCUUGGAACUGCGCGGCUGGAGUGCAGGAGGGGCAGGCGGAAUUCCUGGUGUAGCGGUGAAAUGCGUAGAUAUCAGGAGGAACACCGGUGGCGAAGGCGACUAUCUGGCACAUAACUGACGCUGAGGAGCGAAAGCGUGGGUAGCAAACAGGAUUAGAUACCCCUGUAAA